ACAACCGUGAUGCCCUUAGUAAUGGCGAAUGAACCGGGCAGAGCCCAGCACUGAACCGCCGGCCUGUUUUACUGGGUCGCGUGGAAUGUAGUGUUCGGGAGAGCCUUUUCGUGGUGCGUGGUUGACUCUAUCCAAGUCCACCUUGACUGGGGCCACUGCCCAAAGAGGGUGAUAGGCCCGUAGGAUGGUGCACGUAUUGCGAUGGCUUUUUCCCUUGAGUCGAGUUGCUUGGGAGUGCAGCUCAAAGUGCGUGGUAAACUCCACGUAAGGCUAAAUAUCACCCCGAGACCGAUAGCGAACAAGUACCGUGAGGGAAAGUUGAAAAGAACUUUGAAGAGAGAGUUCAAUAGUACGUGAAACUGUGUAGCGGUAAACGGAGGGGCUCUCGAAGUCCUGGGCCUAGAGAUUCAGGUUGACGGUAUGAGCAGCAGCCCUUUUCCUCGGGGAUCCGUGAAGGACCCUGAUCGGAUGAAGGUUUUUGGUGUGCCGGCGACUGCACUUCUCUGGCUCUAUGAAUGGACACGACGUGUCACUGGGUGUUGGCGGACCUUUUUUUAAUAAAAGAAGGAGCAGAGGUGAAGUUUGCUGAAGCUGGAUGGGCGUUUGAAAGAGCGUUUAUCCGUUCAGCAAGCCCUUUGUCACGUUUUUUUUUUAAUUAAAAAAAAUCUGGCUUCGCUCUCGGUGACAGAUGUUUUAGGCCAUGACGGGCUCGUUUUUUUUUAAAAGCGAGGUUUGUCCACCCCAUUUGUGGGUGUUGACCCCGCUCGUCGCCGGACUGUCGUGAGUAGGUCGGUGGCCCCUCCGACCCGUCUUGAAACACGGACCA
rnacentral:rRNA from 1 species